UCUGAGUCCUCAUUCAAUACAGGUGGGAGAAUCACUGACCCUUCUAAGAGGUCUUUAACUUCUCAAAGUGUGGAAGCAUUAAUUUGUUUGCAAAACUAGAUCCAAAAAUGAGAUCAAUCUAACAUUGAAUAUUACCCAAGCCUAGAAGAGCUUGAGUUUUAUGAAAAAAUGGAAAGAGAUGUAGCAAAGGAAAAUCAAAUGGCUGCAGAAAGUGAAGAUGAUCCAAUAAAUGCAACUGGAACCUCAAAGUCUGCAAAAGUCUCCAAAACAAGUGUUGCUGCAACUCCUUCAACAACUGCCGCUGCUGGAACCUCAAAGUCUGCAAAAGUUAGUAAACUACCAUAAAGAAAAGCUAAAGGGAAAAAAAAUUGAAGAGCAACCGCAUAGCAUUCAUGGCAGCAUGGAAGUUUCUGAUUUAGGAUGUUCAGUCCUUUAGUUUGUUUCGUUUUUAAUUUGUUGAGAUAAUGAGACUUGGAGAAUUGCUUAGUUGCUUACACAACUAUUGGUGAACUUGGUGUUGAUAUGUUGAUGUUGAAUUGCUUAUUGAG